UUAGACAUUUAUUAAAAAGUCAAUCAAGUCGUAUAUGUACAUGUACUCUAGAUGACAUUCAUGCUUCGCUUUACUUUUGGAAACGGAUAUUUUUUCGUGUUAAGAAAACAAGUGGCCAGCAAGGAUUUAAAAGGAAUAAAUGAAAACUGUUUAGAUUGUUCUGAGUGCCGAUACAGUAUGGAUUAAACUUCUAGUGGACUCUGUUUGAUUACAGGAGAACGUGAUUCAGCGAUAAUAGUAUUGACGCGGUGUGCUUAUACCGUAAAAAAAUAUGUCUUAACGGUGUCAACAAUCUGUGGAAUAAACUUCGACAUCGACAUGAUACAUUAAUCGCCAGUCUUUCUGUGCAAUAUCACCUCGUUUUACAUUUGCGUCUAUGUAUACUAUGUAUCCAUCGACAUUAUUGAAAACUUUCAACGGCCAGAUAGACAAGCAAACACGCAUUAGAUAAUGCUAGUGAGAGAUGAAUGUUUGCGUCGUACAAACUAAUAAAGAGUGACAUUCACGUUGAGUUGCUGUAGAACAUAAGAAGUCAAUUAAAGUGUGAGUGUUCAAUAAUAUUGAAACAAAGUAAAAGUGCAAAACACAAUUAGAAAAGGCUGAAUUGCCUUUAAAGAAAAAAUUUAAGAAAUCAUUUCCUACGCAACGUAUUCCAAAAUUUAUUCACCUACGCAUUUUGACGCCGCUAAGGCGUUGAAGUUAGAGGACGAAUUUGCUGGCGGUUGCAUGACUAUGUACCCGUCAGCAGAUAAAUUGAAAAUGAGCACCCCCACUUGUUUUCCCGGUCGAUACAGUCCCACCUAUCGAGGACCAGAUCAGAUGCGACGAUGUAUGACAAAUCCUUCGAGUCGAUUCUUAGAAGAUGCAUCAAUCAUGUGUAACUCAUGGUCUCCAAGACAUAAUGUAAGUGCUAAUAUCUAUAUGCAUAAACAGAAAGCGUACUGAAUACA